rnacentral:rRNA from 1 species
CCUACGGGUGACAGCAGUGAGGAAUAUUGGUCAAUGGCCGCAGGGCUGAACCAGCCAAGUCGCGUGAGGGAUGACGGUCCUAUGGAUUGUAAACCUCUUUUGUCAGGGAGCAAAGGGCGCCACGUGUGGCGCUUUGCGAGUACCUGAAGAAAAAGCAUCGGCUAACUCCGUGCCAGCAGCCGCGGUAAUACGGAGGAUGCGCGCGUUAUCCGGAUUUAUUGGGUUUAAAGGGUGCGCAGGCGGAAUGUCAAGUCAGCGGUAAAAUUUCGGGGCUCAACCCCGUCGUGCCGUUGAAACUGGCGUUCUUGAGUGAGCGAGAGGUAUGCGGAAUGCGUGGUGUAGCGGUGAAAUGCAUAGAUAUCACGCAGAACUCCGAUUGCGAAGGCAGCAUACCGGCGCUCAACUGACGCUCAUGCACGAAAGCGUGGGUAUCGAACAGGAUUAGAUACCCGGGUAGUC